CAGCCGCCGCGGGAAUACGUAGGUGGCAAGCGUUGUCCGGAAUUAUUGGGCGUAAAGGGCUCGCAGGCGGUUUCUUAAGUCUGAUGUGAAAGCCCCCGGCUCAACCGGGGAGGGUCAUUGGAAACUGGGAAACUUGAGUGCAGAAGAGGAGAGUGGAAUUCCACGUGUAGCGGUGAAAUGCGUAGAGAUGUGGAGGAACACCAGUGGCGAAGGCGACCCUCCGGUCUGUAACUGACGCUGAGGAGCGAAAGCGUGGGGAGCGAACAGGAUUAGAUACCCCGGUAGUCCCUGUCUCUUAUAC
rnacentral:rRNA from 1 species